rnacentral:misc_RNA from 1 species
AGUGAGAAAAGGCGAAGCAGCAGCUUACGAAGUAAGCGCCCUGCUAAAGAAAGCUUGCAAAAGGAAGAUUUUUUGCAAGAGAUUUUCUUUUAAUCGAGGCAUGCGUGCGAAAGAGAGAGGGAGCAUACUUAUGUAUGUGACCGAACGAUUGAGUGCGCAUAACGAAGAGUAAAAGGAAAUAUCGCCGCAAAAAAA